AGAGACAGCAGCAGCCGCGGUAAUACGUAGGUGGCGAGCGUUGUCCGGAAUUAUUGGGCGUAAAGGGAGCGCAGGCGGACAUAUAAGUCCGUCUUAAAAGUGCGGGGCUCAACCCCGUGAGGGGAUGGAAACUGUAUGCCUUGAGUGCAGGAGAGGAAAGCGGAAUUCCCAGUGUAGCGGUGAAAUGCGUAGAUAUUGGGAGGAACACCAGUGGCGAAGGCGGCUUUCUGGACUGUAACUGACGCUGAGGCUCGAAAGCCAGGGGAGCGAACGGGAUUAGAUACCCCAGUAGUCCCUGUCUCUUAUACC
rnacentral:rRNA from 1 species